rnacentral:rRNA from 1 species
UACGUAGGGAGCAAGCGUUGUUCGGAUUUACUGGGCGUAAAGGGCGCGUAGGCGGCAAUUCAAGUCAUCUGUGAAAUCUCCGGGCUUAACUCGGAACGGUCAGAUGAUACUGUUUUGCUAGAGUGCAGAAGGGGCAAUCGGAAUUCUUGGUGUAGCGGUGAAAUGCGUAGAUAUCAAGGGGAACACCUGAGGUGAAGACGGGUUGCUGGGCUGACACUGACGCUGAGGCGCGAAAGCCAGGGGAGCAAACGGG